rnacentral:rRNA from 1 species
AUGUCUUCUCAUUCUUCCACUUUGUCCUCUCUUCGAUCGCUGGAUUCUCCUGUUCAUGUCUUCACUGCUGAUGGUACCCCACUUUCUGUUGCUAGUAGAGGCAAUCUUACCACUCCUUCUUAUUCUGUUCCUGAUGUUGCUCAUAUUCCUCGACUUACCAUGAAUCUGUUUUCUGCUGGUCAACUUACUGAUUCUGGUUGUCGAGUCAUCCUUGAUGUUGACUCUUGUUCUAUCCAGGACCGUCGCACGCACACUCUGGUUGGGGCUGGCCCUCGCCGCCGUGAUUCUCAGGGUCUUUGGGAGUUGGACUGGCUUCAUGUUCCUUCCGCUGCCACCACCAUUGCCAGUUCUUCCACUUCAGUCGCCUCCGUUACUGGUUCCUUCAAGCAGUGGCAUCAUCGACUUGGUCAUCUGUGUGGUUCUCGGUUGUCAUCUUUAGUUCGUCGAGGUCUUCUAGGGUCUGUCUCAGGAGAUGUCUCUUUAGAGUGUCAGGGUUGUCGUCUUGGCAAGCAGAUUCAGUUACCAUAUUCACAUAGUGAGUCAGUGUCUAAGCGUCUUUUUGAUUUAGUCCAUUCUGAUGUAUGGGGUCCGGCUCCUUUCGCUUCGAAAGGUGGUCAUAAAUACUAUAUUAUUUUCAUAGAUGAUUUCUCUCGUUACACAUGGCUUUAUUUCAUGACUUCUCGUAGUGAGGUGUUGUCUAUUUAUAAGCGUUUUGCUGCCAUGGUUCAUACUCAAUUCUCUUCCCCCAUUCGUGUUUGUCGUGCUGACUCCGCUGGCGAGUAUAUCUCUAAGAUGUUGCGUGGUGUUCUUGCUGAGCAAGGAACUCUCUCUCAAUUCUCCUGUCCUGGUGCUCAUACUCAGAAUGGUGUGGCUGAACGAAAGCAUCGUCACCUUCUUGAGAUGGCUUGUGCAUUGAUGAUUGCUGCCUCUCUCCCGCCUCAUUUUUGGGCUGAGGCCGUCUCCACCUCCACCUAUCUUAUCAAUAUACAGCCUUCUACUGCUCUACAGGGUGGUGUUCCUUUCGAGCGUCUUUUUGAUCGUUCUCCCAAUUAUUCGAUGCUUCGCUUGUUUGGUUGUGUUUGCUAUGUUCUUCUUGCCCCUCGCGAACGCACCAAAUUGACCGCUCAGUCUGUUGAGUGUGUCUUCUUAGGCUACAGUGAUGAGCAUAAGGGCUAUCGUUGUUGGGAUCCUAUCGGUCAUCGGAUGCGUAUCUCUCGAGACAUGACUUUUGAUGAGUCUCGUCCCUUCUACCCACGCCCAUCUUCCUCGACCUUUUCAGUGGAGGAUAUCUCUUUCCUUAUUUUUUUCCCGACUCACCUAUCACCCCCGUCGAGCCUGUGCCUAUUCGUUCCCCUCCCUCUGCUUCUCCACCUCUAG